rnacentral:rRNA from 1 species
AGAGUUUGAUCCUGGCUCAGGAUGAACGCUAGCGGUAGGCUUAACACAUGCAAGUCGAGGGGUAGAAGGAGCUUGCUCCUUUGAGACCGGCGCACGGGUGCGUAACGCGUAUGCAAUCUACCUUGUACAGGGGGAUAGCCCAGAGAAAUUUGGAUUAAUACCCCAUAGUAUUUUCAGAUGGCCUCAUUUGAUUAUUAAAGUUCCAACGGUACAAGAUGAGCAUGCGUCCCAUUAGCUAGUUGGUGUGGUAACGGCAUACCAAGGCAACGAUGGGUAGGGGUCCUGAGAGGGAGAUCCCCCACACUGGUACUGAGACACGGACCGGACUCCUACGGGAGGCAGCAGUGAGGAAUAUUGGUCAAUGGGCGCAAGCCUGAACCAGCCAUGCCGCGUGCAGGAUGACGGUCCUAUGGAUUGUAAACUGCUUUUGUACAGGAAGAAACCCUCCCUUGUAAGGGAGCUUGACGGUACUGUAAGAAUAAGGAUCGGCUAACUCCGUGCCAGCAGCCGCGGUAAUACGGAGGAUCCAAGCGUUAUCCGGAAUCAUUGGGUUUAAAGGGUCCGUAGGCGGUUUUAUAAGUCAGUGGUGAAAUCUGGUCGCUCAACGAUCAAACGGCCAUUGAUACUGUAAGACUUGAAUUACUUGGAAGUAACUAGAAUAUGUAGUGUAGCGGUGAAAUGCUUAGAGAUUACAUGGAAUACCGAUUGCGAAGGCAGGUUACUACGAGUAUAUUGACGCUGAUGGACGAAAGCGUGGGGAGCGAACAGGAUUAGAUACCCUGGUAGUCCACGCCGUAACGAUGGAUACUAGGUGUAGGGGUUUCAACACCUCUGUGCCGCCGCUAACGCAUUAAGUAUUCCGCCUGGGGAGUACGGUCGCAAGAUUAAAACUCAAAGGAAUUGACGGGGACCCGCACAAGCAGCGGAGCAUGUGGUUUAAUUCGAAGCAACGCGAAGAACCUUACCUACACUUGACAUCCCUUGCAUUACCCGUAAUUGGGGAAAUCUCUUCGGAGACAAGGUGACAGGUGGUGCAUGGUUGUCGUCAGCUCGUGUCGUGAGAUGUUGGGUUAAGUCCCGCAACGAGCGCAACCCCUAUUGUUAGUUGCUACCAUUAAGUUGAGCACUCUAGCAAGACUGCCUGGGUUAACCAGGAGGAAGGUGGGGACGACGUCAAAUCGUCAUGCCCCUUAUGUGUAGGGCUACACACGUGCUACAAUGGCUGGUACAGAGAGACGCAAGACCGCGAGGUGGAGCUAAUCCCAGAAAACCAGUCCCAGUUCGGAUUGAAGGCUGAAACUCGCCUUCAUGAAGCCGGAGUUGCUAGUAAUCGCGAAUCAGAAUGUCGCGGUGAAUACGUUCCCGGGUCUUGUACACACCGCCCGUCACACCAUGAGAGUUGGCAAUACCCAACGUCCGUGAGCUAACCGCAAGGAGGCAGCGGCCUAAGGUAGGGUCAGCGAUUGGGGUGAAGUCGUAACAAGGUAAAC